UACGAAGGGUGCGAGCGUUAUUCGGAAUCACUGGGCGUAAAGGGUGCGUAGAUGGCUUGUUAAGUUCGUUGUUAAAGGCUCCGGCCUAACCGGAGUAUUGCGAUGAAAACUGGCAAGCUAGAGGGUGAGAGAGAGAAGUGGAAUUCCCGGAGUAGCGGUAAAAUGCGUGGAUCGCGGGAGGAACACCAAGGGCGAAGGCAGCUUCUUGGCUCAUUCCUGACGUUGAUGCACGAAAGCGUGGGGAGCAAACAGG
rnacentral:rRNA from 1 species